rnacentral:rRNA from 1 species
UACGUAGGGUGCAAGCGUUGUCCGGAAUUAUGGUGCGUAAAGAGCUCGUAGGUGGUUUGUCGCGUUGUUCGUGAAAACUCACAGCUUAACUGUGGGCGUGCGGGCGAUACGGGCAGACUGGAGUACUGCAGGGGAGACUGGAAUUCCUGGUGUAGCGGUGGAAUGCGCAGAUAUCAGGAGGAACACCGGUGGCGAAGGCGGGUCUCUGGGCCGAUACUGACGCUGGAGGAGCGAAAGCGUGGGGAGCGAACAGG